CUGCUUUAGUUAGUAAGAAGAAAACCACAAUUACAUGGCACUUCAGAUGCUGCAGUGCAAUGAAAUACUGGACAUUUUGGCACCCUCAUUUUCAAAAAUCAAAUGUUCGGAGGAGGAAGCAAGAUGGUCUGGGGCUGUUUUUCUGGAUCCAGGGUCGGCUACCACAGCAUUCAGCAGCGCCAUGCAGUACCCUCUGGUAUGCAAGUAGUUGGUCAGAGGUUCAUCCUACAGCA